rnacentral:rRNA from 1 species
AAUUUGAAAUCUGGCCUCUUUGGGGUCCGAGUUGUAAUUUGUAGAGGAUGUUUCGGGCACCGCUCCGGUUUAAAUUUCUUGGAACAGAAUGUCAAAGAGGGUGAGAACCCCGUCUUGGACCGGCAGUAGGGCCCAUGUGAAACUCCUUCGACGAGUCGAGUUGUUUGGGAAUGCAGCUCAAAAUGGGUGGUAAAUUUCAUCUAAAGCUAAAUAUUGGCCAGAGACCGAUAGCGCACAAGUAGAGUGAUCGAAAGAUGAAAAGCACUUUGAAAAGAGAGUUAAACAGUACGUGAAAUUGUUGAAAGGGAAGCGCUUGCAACCAGACUUGCGCGCGGCGGUUCCCCCUUCCUUUUGGUUGGGUUAUUCCGCCGUGUCCAGGCCAACAUCGGUUCUGGGGGUCGGUUAAAGGCCUGGGGAAUGUAUCUACCCUUCGGGCGUAGACUUAUAGCCCCGGGUGUCAUGCGACCUCCCGGGACCGAGGAACGCGCUUCGGCUCGGAUGUUGGCGUAAUGGUUGUCAGCGACCCGUCUU